rnacentral:rRNA from 1 species
GAUCAUGGCUCAGGAUGAACGCUAGCUACAGGCUUAACACAUGCAAGUCGAGGGGCAGCAUUAUCGAAGCUUGCUUUGAUAGAUGGCGACCGGCGCACGGGUGAGUAACGCGUAUCCAACCUUCCCCGAUAGUCCAGGAAUAGCCCGGCGAAAGUCGAAUUAAUGCCUGAUGUUUUCCACGGACGGCAUCCGAUGUGGAACAAAGAUUCAUCGCUAUGGGAUGGGGGAUGCGUCUGAUUAGCUUGUUGGCGGGGUAACGGCCCACCAAGGCAACGAUCAGUAGGGGUUCUGAGAGGAAGGUCCCCCCACAUUGGAACUGAGACACGGUCCAAACUCCUACGGGAGGCAGCAGUGAGGAAUAUUGGUCAAUGGGCGGAAGCCUGAACCAGCCAAGUAGCGUGAGGGAUGACUGCCCUAUGGGUUGUAAACCUCUUUUAUAAGGGAAUAAAAUACGGGACGUGUCCUGUUUUGCAUGUACCUUAUGAAUAAGGACCGGCUAAUUCCGUG